rnacentral:lncRNA from 1 species
AUAAUUAUCACGUGGCUAUUGAAAUCAUACAGCAGAAUGACAGUGAACGAAAACAAGAUAGAAACAUUAAAGAGUAUAGGAAAGAUUCCUGAAUUACAAAGUAAAAAAUAAAGGAAGAAGCUCAGAUGAGCAAGUAGUGUCAGCUUCGUACAAGGGGAUGUUGUUAAGACCUAGUGGAGAGCAAGGAGCUAGAUAUCGCCGUAGAGAGCGAAGAGGACGCUGCUCUUUGUCCUGUGAGUCAGGAGGAUUAGAAGAAAGAGCUCUGUUGGUUAUUUUUAAAAAACUGGAAAGUUAAUUUUGUCAAGGAGGUUGGAAAGAUGAAAAAUGGCUUGGAAAAAAAGAAAUGCUGAAAGGAAAUUUUCUCAAUACAUGAGGGAUUUCUUCACGUGAUGUUGAGUGGAAGAAAAGCCUUCAUAUUUUCAAAAUCGCAUUCCAGCUUGGAUACCUGGUCCACAUGGUUCCCGUGAAGAAUGUCCACGGACCGGGGAAUCUGAGCAAGUGAGACCCUGCUCGCCUAUCUACAGUGUCUUGGUUGAUAUUUUACCAGGUAAACAGUGUGUUGCAGUUAUUUCUCACUGACGAAUGGAGGCAAGUUUCUUCAGGAGCAUCAGACUCUCAAAAUACAACAUGGACAAGUUCCCCAGGAAUUGUAUGCUGGAAAACAUUCUGAAGAAAGCUAAAGAGUUGUCACGAGCAGCUCCAGUGGUGCAACCAGUUAUCACACAGUACUUAAGAGAAUUUCCGUGAGACUAAUCUUGAUUGUUUCUCUCUCUCAUGAAGAUGAAUCGUGGUUCUAAAUGUACUGGGAAAAAUACACUGGGACAAAGAAAUAAAGAAAAAUAGUAGAAACACCUGAAAAAGCCCUACCAGAUAUUCAGAUACCUAAACACUCAAAUAAGUAAAAUGAAUAAACAUUAUUGAGAGAAUUUCCUAUCUUCUUUUAUCCAGUUCUUCUUAAGGCAAAAGCUAGCAGCCGUUCAUUAUACUAAAUAAUUUCUUAGUAAAAUAACGCCUUAUUUUAAGAGCGGUUGCACAUAUUCAUCUCGUCUGGGAAGAGAUGUCAUUUAAUAAACUGCUUACUGAGUUGCAGUUUGAUGGUCCUGUGGUAGUAAUAACAAUACAUCUAGCAGUAAACCAAUGAGAAAACACCAGGAUUGUCAAAACAGGCUACCUGUGAAUGAAUCCCAAG